CUGGAGAACUGAGGGGGGCUGCUCCUAGUACGAGAGGACCGGAGUGGACGCAUCACUGGUGUUCGGGUUGUCAUGCCAAUGGCACUGCCCGGUAGCUAAAUGCGGAAGAGAUAAGUGCUGAAAGCAUCUAAGCACGAAACUUGCCCCGAGAUGAGUUCUCCCUGACUCCUUGAGAGUCCUGAAGGAACGUUGAAGACGACGACGUUGAUAGGCCGGGUGUGUAAGCGCAGCGAUGCGUUGAGCUAACCGGUACUAAUGAACCGUGAGGCUUAACCUUACAACGCCGAAG
rnacentral:rRNA from 1 species